CCUACGGGAGGCAGCAGUGGGGAAUAUUGCGCAAUGGGCGAAAGCCUGACGCAGCGACGCCGCGUGAGGGAUGAAGGUCUUCGGAUCGUAAACCUCUGUCAGCAGGGAAGAACAGUCACUGUGCUAAUCAGCAGUGAAUUGACGGUACCUUCAACGUCAGCACCGGCUAACCCCGUGCCAGCAGCCGCGUUAAUAAGGAGGGCGCGAGCGUUAAUUGGAAUUACUGGGUGUAAGGCGCCCGUAGGCGGGAUGUCAAGUAGAGGGUGAAAUCCCCGCGUCCAAGGUGGGAACUGCCUUUGAAACUGGCAAGCUGGAGUGUGUGUGAGGAGAGUGGAAUGCCAGGUGUAGGAGUGAAAUCCGUAGAUAUCUGGAGGAACAUCAGUGGCGAAGGCGACUAUCUGGCACAUAACUGACGCUGAGGAGCGAAAGCGUGGGUAGCAAACAGGAUUAGAUACCCGUGUAGUC
rnacentral:rRNA from 1 species